AUGAAAGCUUCGGCUUACUUUGAUAUUUAAACCCCCCUAUGUUGACUGUACCAUGGUCUUUCUACUAGUGUUACUUUAUAUUAGUGGAUGGCAUGAUACAAAAACCUUUGUGUAAUCAGCUAUGUCUGUCUGAAAAAUAUAUGAAUUAUUUUA
rnacentral:misc_RNA from 1 species